rnacentral:rRNA from 1 species
GACGAACGCUGGCGGCGUGCCUAAUACAUGCAAGUAGAACGCUGAAGGAGGAGCUUGCUUCUCUGGAUGAGUUGCGAACGGGUGAGUAACGCGUAGGUAACCUGCCUGGUAGCGGGGGAUAACUAUUGGAAACGAUAGCUAAUACCGCAUAAGAGUAGAUGUCGCAUGACAUUUGCUUAAAAGGUGCAAUUGCAUCACUACCAGAUGGACCUGCGUUGUAUUAGCUAGUUGGUGAGGUAACGGCUCACCAAGGCAACGAUACAUAGCCGACCUGAGAGGGUGAUCGGCCACACUGGGACUGAGACACGGCCCAGACUCCUACGGGAGGCAGCAGUAGGGAAUCUUCGGCAAUGGACGGAAGUAUGACCGAGCAACGCCGCGUGAGUGAAGAAGGUUUUCGGAUCGUAAAGCUCUGUUGUAAGAGAAGAACGAGUGUGAGAGUGGAAAGUUCACACUGUGACGGUAUCUUACCAGAAAGGGACGGCUAACUACGUG